rnacentral:tRNA from 1 species
AUUAGCUCAGUGGGUUAGAGCAUGGUGCUGAUAACACUAGGGUCAUGGGUUCAAACCCCAUAU